rnacentral:rRNA from 1 species
GACUACAGGGGUAUCUAAUCCUGUUUGCUCCCCACGCUUUCGUGCAUCAGCGUCAGUUACAGUUUAGUAAGCUGCCUUCGCAAUUGGAGUUCUGUGUGAUAUCUAAGCAUUUCACCGCUACACCACACAUUCCGCCUACCUCAAUUGUACUCAAGACUUGCAGUAUCAAUGGCAGUUCUACAGUUAAGCUGUAGUAUUUCACCACUGACUUACAAAUCCGCCUACGCACCCUUUAUACCUAAUGAAUCCGGAUAACGCUUGCAUCCUCCGUAUUACCGCGGCUGCUGGCACGGAGUUAGCCGAUGCUUAUUCGUAUAGUACAGUCAGUCUCCUACACGUAGGAGGGUUCUUCCCAUACAAAAGAAGUUUACGACCCAUAGGGCUGUCAUCCUUCACGCGGCAUGGCUGGUUCAGGCUUGCGCCCAUUGACCAAUAUUCCUCACUGCUGCCCCCCGUAGG